GCCUGGUGUGUGUGUCUCUGUGUGUGUGGUGCAUAUAUGUGUGUGUGUGAUGUCUGUGUGUGAUGUAUAUAUGUCUAGUUGUGUGUGUCUCUGUGUGUGGUGCAUAUAUGUGUGUGUGUGGUGCAUGUGUGUGUGUGUGUCUUUCUGUGUGUGGUGCAUAUAUGUGUGUGUGAAUCUGUGUGUGUGUGCAGAUCCUCCUUCCCUGUGCGCACGUGUAGAGGGCAAGGGUCAAAGCAAGCUGUCUUCUGCCUUUCUCCAUGCUAGCACUUGGUUACGCACAUGUAAAGCCACACUCAGCUUUUCUUUUUUUUAUUUUGGCUGCUAGGAGUCCAA
rnacentral:lncRNA from 1 species